CUAAAUUUGUUUUCUGGAAAUUCUUGUUGAGGAUUAUAUUAGAGGAUCAUUGAAUGUUUUGUUGAAUUGCAUGAUGUAGGUUACCUGCUGGAUGAAUUAUAAACUAUGUGAACUUCCAGCUCUAUUGCAGUUACUCUUAAGUUUCUUCUUUUUUUAUUUUAACAAUUCAGUGCAUCAUUUUCGUAAUUCUCUUUUGGGUUUUUGUAAAGUGUCCCACCUUUGCAAACAAAAUCAUUUUCAAGCCUGUGGUCUGUGUGACCUGAAUGUAGCUACCUUAGAUUUGUGCCAAAGUUCACUUCACCUGGGAUUGCUUCUAGUUCUAUUCUGUAUGAACCCUGUCUUUUUGUCUCCUUUUUGUUGAACUUUGUUAUAGUCCUUUGAGUUGCCAAAACUUUUGUGGACUUUGUAGCCUCUAACUGCAAAAUGCAAUACCAAGAUUGCUUCCGCACAAUUGGCAAAUUUAAAGUGGUUCUCCUUGUCAAUGUCCACCCUUGUUGCUCUUUUGGUACCAAUUUAGAUGCAAUCACACUUUUGUAAUACCUGUCCAAAUUCCACCUACCUCUUGCUAGAAUCCUUUAAUGGCCUUGGAUAGCAUGAUAAAAAAUUGUCGAAAUUACAACUGAAGUCCACCAUUCCUUGAUCUUAUCAAUCUUCACACAUGGCGUUUUACCAUCUUUGAUAGGUGGAUGUUCUGCAACUAUGUUUUAUGUGUCCAUUUUAUUGGAAAUAUUUAUUUGUUUGUUACCGCAUUGGAUACACCCACUUCAUAAAUUCAUUUAGUGAUGCUUAGUUCUUUACUAAUUCUAGCUUGACAUAUUUUACAGUGAAUAACUUUUUGAAACUUAUGCCACUUUCUUCCGAUUGUGUCUGUCAUGAUACAUCACAUAAAAUUUCUUCCCAUGCAUGGUGUUGCCAACUCUUAUUAUGCUGCUGUCCUGUUUAGAAAGGGGAAUUGAGAAAUUCAUAUUUGGUACAAGUCAAUAAUUGUUUGUGGUUUUGAAGUAUUUGUGAGCUAAAAAUGUUGGAUUCAUAUGGCUAUUUAUUGUAUUUUGUGUGUAGAGCUGGAAGCCAGAUGUCAACUGUAGUCAUAAUUGAUCUAUACGAAACCUUUCAAUGCUCAAGCACCUGCUAUCAUUCAGGUCGAUCUGGCAUUUGUGGACAAAUAUUCUGUAACCAAAUAGAGUUGUACAGAUAAAUGUGGUGCUUGGAUAUGUUUACAUUAUUGAGUGUGUCGAGUUAGAUCUCCCUGUUAGCUUAGCCUGUGCAGCUAUUUCUAUACCCGUUUAGCAUAACAUGAAUUUGAGCCUAAAUGAGACAGGCAUGUCCAAUGCACAGCUUAUUAUCAUGAAUGGCGAUGUCCAUCUAGUUUUCCAUUUUUAUAAUUUUCUAGUAGCUAUGGAGAGCUAUCUACUUCAAACAAUCUCAAGUUAACAGCAGUUUCCACCUUUUAAGUCGCCCUUAUUUCCACGUAAAAUUUUUUGCUUGUUCACAUAAUAUGAAGUAUGCCUUUUUUUUGCUCGUAACUGAGUUAUAAUUUGAUAUAGUAAUUUGACAGGCGUAUAUUUUGCUUUUGGUCUAAUGGAACGGUUGGAGAUGUUUACAUGCAAAUUUCUGUCCAGUAUUAUGUUUGCUGUCUGAAUAGUCCGAGUUAUCGCAAUGUUUUCAAACCCGGACCGGGCCGGCCGGCUCGACCGGUCAAACCGCGAACCGGCCAUGUGUCCGGUCCGGUUCAUAGCUGGUGUUGACUUGGUUCUAGAACCGGGCAAACCCGUAAAAAACCGCUCAAACCGUUAAACUCGGAUCGAACCGUGAACCGCGGUUUUUUAAUUUUUCACAAAAUUGACUGAAUUUUGACUGAAAUUAAGGACUAAACAUCUAAACCUAGUCUUCAGUCUAUUCUUCACUCCAAUCUUCGCCUCUUCAGUCUUCUUGCUUGGCUGCUCUUGCCGAGUUGCCGUCGUUGCCGUCUCUAUUUCCUUCUCGGCUUCUCAGUCCAAACUCCAAACUUGAUCCAUAGCAAUCAGCACGAAGGAAGCACGAAGCAAGUAAAAACAGAGAGUGCUGGAGCCUGGAGCAUGAAGGUUUUGUCAUUGGAUGAUUGCAUGCAUGCAAAAUGUGAAUAACUACAUAAAGAAAUGAUUGGCUUUCUUGAUUAUGAUCAGCAACAGAAAGAAAACGAAGAAAAGUGAUUCAUAUAAUGGUCUUGGAUGGUGAUGACGACUUGUCAAGAUGGCUUAUUUUUGAAGCUUUGUUGUCCCAGAAUGACGAAGAAGAUUAUAGAAACCUCAGAAAUUGGAUUUGUUUGGACCUUUUGAGUGUUUUCUACACUUAUAUUGUUUUUUUGUUAAUUCUAAUAUUUAGACAAUUGGACAUGUAAGUUGGAUAACUAUGAUAUUGCUCUUAUGUUAAUUGUGGUUUAACAUUUAUAUCUUA